rnacentral:rRNA from 1 species
AUACGGAGGGUGCAAGCGUUACUCGGAAUCACUGGGCGUAAAGCGCGCGCAGGCGGUCUUUUAAGUUGGAUGUGAAAGCCUACAGCUCAACUGUAGAACUGCAUCCAAAACUAUUAGACUAGAGUCUGGGAGGGGAAGAUGGAAUUAGUUGUGUAGGGGUAAAAUCCGUAGAGAUAACUAGGAAUACCAAAAGCGAAGGCGAUCUUCUGGAACAGUACUGACGCUGAGGCGCGAAAGCGUGGGGAGCAAACAGGAUUAGAAACCCCAGUAGUAC